rnacentral:rRNA from 1 species
UACGUAGGGUCCGAGCGUUGUCCGGAAUUACUGGGCGUAAAGAGCUCGUAGGUGGUUUGUCGCGUUGUUCGUGAAAACUCACAGCUUAACUGUGGGCGUGCGGGCGAUACGGGCAGACUUGAGUACUGCAGGGGAGACUGGAAUUCCUGGUGUAGCGGUGGAAUGCGCAGAUAUCAGGAGGAACACCGGUGGCGAAAGCGGCUCACUGGACCAUAACUGACGCUGAUGGACGAAAGCUGGGGGAGCAAACAGG